UCCUACGGGAGGCAGCAGUGGGGAAUAUUGCACAAUGGGCGCAAGUCUGAUGCAGCCAUGCCGCGUGUGUGAAGAAGGCCUUCGGGUUGUAAAGCACUUUCAGUCGUGAGGAAGGUGGUGUAGUUAAUAGCUGCAUUAUUUGACGUUAGCGACAGAAGAAGCACCGGCUAACUCCGUGCCAGCAGCCGCGGUAAUACGGAGGGUGCGAGCGUUAAUCGGAAUUACUGGGCGUAAAGCGCAUGCAGGUGGUUUGUUAAGCUAGAUGUGAAAGCCCACGGCUCAACCGUGGAGGGUCAUUGGAAACUGGGAGACUUGAGUGCAGAAGAGGAAAGUGGAAUUCCAUGUGUAGCGGUGAAAUGCGUAGAGAUAUGGAGGAACACCAGUGGCGAAGGCGACUUUCUGGUCUGUAACUGACACUGAGGCGCGAAAGCGUGGGGAGCAAACAGGAUUAGAUACCCUGGUAGUCCACGCCGUAAACGAUGAGUGCUAAGUGUUAGAGGGUUUCCGCCCUUUAGUGCUGAAGUUAACGCAUUAAGCACUCCGCCUGGGGAGUACGGCCGCAAGGCGGAAACUCAAAUGAAUUGACGGA
rnacentral:rRNA from 1 species